AGAGCGAACGCUGGCGGCAGGCCUAAUACAUGCAAGUCGAACGGACCCUUCGGGGUUAGUGGCGGACGGGUGAGUAACACGUGGGAACGUGCCCUUUGGUUCGGAACAACACAGGGAAACUUGUGCUAAUACCGGAUAAGCCCUUACGGGGAAAGAUUUAUCGCCGAAAGAUUGGCCCGCGUCUGAUUAGCUAGUUGGUGAGGUAACGGCUCACCAAGGCGACGAUCAGUAGCUGGUCUGAGAGGAUGAUCAGCCACAUUGGGACUGAGACACGGCCCAAACUCCUACGGGAGGCAGCAGUGGGGAAUAUUGGACAAUGGGCGCAAGCCUGAUCCAGCCAUGCCGCGUGAGUGAUGAAGGCCCUAGGGUUGUAAAGCUCUUUUGUGCGGGAAGAUAAUGACGGUACCGCAAGAAUAAGCCCCGGCUAACUUCGUGCCAGCAGCCGC
rnacentral:rRNA from 1 species